rnacentral:rRNA from 1 species
UACGGGGGGGGCAAGCGUUGUUCGGAAUUACUGGGCGUAAAGGGCGCGUAGGCGGCCCGCUAAGUCGAACGUGAAAUCCCUGGGCUCAACCCAGGAACUGCGUCCGAUACUGGCAGGCUUGAAUCCGGGAGAGGGAUGCGGAAUUCCAGGUGUAGCGGUGAAAUGCGUAGAUAUCUGGAGGAACACCGGUGGCGAAGGCGGCAUCCUGGACCGGUAUUGACGCUGAGGCGCGAAAGCCAGGGGAGCAAACGGG